AGCUUGAGAGAGUGACCGGCCACAUUGGGACUGAGACACGCCCCAGACUCUUACGGGAGGCAGCAGUGGGGAAUAUUGCACAAUGGGGGAAACCCUGAUGCAGCGACGCCGCGUGAAUGAAGAAGUAUUUCGGUAUGUAAAGCUCUAUCAGCAGGGAAGAUAAUGACGUACCUGACUAAGAAGCUCCGGCUAAAUACGUGCCAG
rnacentral:rRNA from 1 species